rnacentral:rRNA from 1 species
UACGUAUGGGGCGAGCGUUAUUCGGAUUCAUUGGGCGUAAAGCGUAUGUCGGGGGCUUGUUAAGUCGAGGGUGAAAUUUUCUCGCUCAACGUGAAAAUUGCUUUCGAAACUGACAAGCUGGAGUUUUGGAGAGGAGAUUGGAAUUCCAGGUGUAGGGGUGAAAUCUGUAGAUAUCUGGAAGAACACCAGUGGCGAAGGCGAAUCUCUGGCCAAAAACUGACCCUUAGAUACGAAAGCCAGGGGAG